AUUGAACGCUGGCGGCAGGCUUAACACAUGCAAGUCGAGCGAGCGGCGGACGGGUGAGUAAUGUCUGGGAAACUGCCUGCUGGAGGGGGAUAACUACUGGAAACGGUACCUAAUACCGCAUACCAUCAGAUGUGCCCAUAUGGGAGUAGCUAGUAGGUGGGGUAAUGGCUCACCUAGGCGACGAUCCCUAGCUGGUCUGAGAGGGUGACCAGGCACACUGGAACGGGACAACGGUCAAUACUCCUACGGGAGGCAGCAGUGGGGAAUGUUGGACAAUGGGCGCAAGCCUGAUGCAGCCAUGCCGCGUGGGUGAAGAAGGCCUUCGGGUUUUAAAGCACUUUAAGCGGGGAGGCGGUACUCGCAGAAGAAGCACCGGCUAACUCCGUGCCAGCAGCCGCGGUAAUUC
rnacentral:rRNA from 1 species